GAAAAAUGGCAAUAACACUAAUAGAAACCUCCACAAGACUACUAAGUGAAUUACAGAAAAUAAACUCAAAGGGUGUGGAAUAUUAUCCAGAGAAUGCUUGCACUGCUUGGCUGUGGCGGACACCUGGCUGGGGUGGAGGCCCUGGCCUGGUCUGACCUCGUGAGGCUUGAAUGCUUCUCCAACCACCUCCUGCCCUGCAACCAACCUUGGCAGAGCCCUCGUGGCCAGAGGCCCAGUGCCUGUCAUGGAGUCGAAGCUGUACUUCCUCGUCAGCCAGUACCUGUCGGCCAGCCUGUGCCAAACAGCAGCCUAGGUACCAGUGCCAGAGCUGGAGCAGUACCAGCUGCUGCUGAAGAGGUUGGACUGGGAGGGCAAUAAGCACAGCAGUCUAAAACUUUGAGACAUAAUUAUUAAACUGAAUACAAAGAACUAGUCUUGUCCAUUAAGCAUGUGGCUCCUGACCAUCUGCUGCGGGUCUGACAGUGCUUCAGUCUUAUUUUCUUUUUUUUUUUUUAAAGACGGGGUUUCACCAUGUUGGUCAGGCUGGUCUUAAACCCCCAACCUCAGGUGAUCCACCCACCUUGGCCACCAAAGUGCUUGGAUUACAGGUGUGAGCCACCACGCCUGGCCUUCAAUCUUAUUUUGGAUAAAGAAAUUCCACUCCGGUUUUGAAGAGUCACUUCUUUCCUUGGUGCAGGAAGGCAGUCUUUGUUACAUACAGCAAAACAUAGGUUAAUGUAAAUAUGUGAUCUGCUUUCUGUUAAUAGCUAAAUAAUUGCUAAAAUUGUGACAUAAUGCAAGCAUUGUGGAAGAAAGGUACUAAUUAUAUGUAAGUCAUGCUGUGUACCAUACAACUCUUUGCAUUUAGCAUAGAACACUGAAUUUUGCUGUAUUUCGUGGACACUUCUGCAUAUGAAAAAUUGAUAAAGACACAAAUGUUAGCUAAAAAGCUUGUAUUUACUCUGAGAUGUGUUUGAGGUUUUAUCAGUGUGACUUCUUAAUCUUCCACCCUGGAGUUCACGUAUAACUUCAUUGAAUGUAAUUGUAUUUGUCUAAUAAACUCUAAAUGCUAGGAGUAUUUCAUUUGAUAUUUAGAACCUGAAAGUCCUUUGUUAUAAAGGGAAGUGAUUUCAUAAAAUUGGAAGCAGCCUGAGAACAAGUACCAAAAAUGUAAAAUUGAGUGGGUCUGUUAUUUAUCAAUUUGAUUUUUUUACAAAAUUAUGUGCUAGCAUAAUGUUUGUAACUGCUAUGCUUCUUCUGGUAGCUUGAUAUAAAUGACUUAAACUAAGUAUACGCAUGUGAUAUGAUGCAUGUGUACAUCUGAUUAAACUGAUAAUGGGCAAAGAUUGUUGGUUCUUUUGAUCCUAAACAUACAUUAAAUCACAUCCCAUGAUUAUUUUUUGUUCCAAGCUAUUGCUGAUGUGAUGCUACCUCUUAAAUGCACCACUAAUAUAAAGCUUAACUGAGAAGGAAACAACCCGCCCUUUUAGUUCCACGCUAGACUGGCUUAUCAGCUUUAGUUGUUUCUUAGUCCUCUACAGCAAUGCCACACUGUGGCAUUGAAAACCCAUGUAUAGUCUUCUUCCUUCUUCUGUGCCCCUAUUCACUUUGUAAUCAUUCUGUUUUAGGGGUUAUGUGGUAGUUACUGGAGUGGCAUGUUUUCCUUGGUUUUCUCUACUUGUGUCAAGCUCAGUGUCAUGGUUCUGUUAUGAGCACCGCUUGCUACUAGCAGAUCUUAAAAGAGACUUGCAGCUCCAGAGAUGGGGCCAAAAUUCUCUUUUUGUUUUCUACUAGGACCACAAGAGGAUGCCUUGCAACUGCUCUUUGGUCAUAACGAUAAAGAAUCCAUUCAUGGAAAAUGCAAUAUGCCUGUUGGUUUGGGCACCUGAGAUUUCGUAGAGGUUUAGCAUGAUGGUCUCCCUCCUUUUUUUUUUUUUUUUUUUUUUGAGUGGUGAAGAAACUAAAUUUCUAGCACAGCAUGACUGCUCAUAACCUGUGUUCUGCUGCUAUCUCCCAUAGAGGAGGGUAGAUAUUGCUUUCUUAGUGCAUUGGCUGGUAGGUCAAGGAGGGAUGGGGCUUUUGAAUUUGUGUUCAGACUCACAGAUCCUGCAUAAGGGCUGUUCUGUAGAGGAUUACCUGUGAUCAUAAAAUAAAAGGAAAGGUAUUUAAUUUUAAUUUGUCAAUACUUCAUAAAGAGACUUAAGUCAAUGCAGUAU
rnacentral:lncRNA from 1 species